AGUGAACGCUGGCGGCAGGCCUAACACAUGCAAGUCGAGCGGCAGCGGGUCCUUCGGGAUGCCGGCGAGCGGCGGACGGGUGAGGAAUACAUCGGAAUCUGCCCUGUCGUGGGGGAUAACCUAGGGAAACUUAGGCUAAUACCGCAUACGACCUACGGGUGAAAGCGGGGGAUCGCAAGACCUCGCGCGACAGGAUGAGCCGAUGUCCGAUUAGCUAGUUGGCUGGGUAAAGGCCCACCAAGGCGACGAUCGGUAGCUGGUCUGAGAGGAUGAUCAGCCACACUGGGACUGAGACACGGCCCAGACUCCUACGGGAGGCAGCAGUGGGGAAUAUUGGACAAUGGGCGCAAGCCUGAUCCAGCCAUGCCGCGUGGGUGAAGAAGGCCUUCGGGUUGUAAAGCCCUUUUGUCCGGGAAGAAAUCGUCUGGGCUAAUACCCCGGGCGGAUGACGGUACCGGAAGAAUAAGCACCGGCUAACUUCGUG
rnacentral:rRNA from 1 species